rnacentral:tRNA from 1 species
GAGGGUGUAGCUCAGUGGUAGAGUGCAUGCUUAACAUACAUGAGGUCCUGGAUUCAAUCCCCAGUACCUCUG